rnacentral:rRNA from 1 species
CACGGGGAGGUAGUGACGAAAAAUAACGAUACGGGACUCAUCCGAGGCCCCGUAAUCGGAAUGAGUACACUUUAAAUCCUUUAACGAGGGAUCCAUUGGAGGGCAAGUCUGGUGCCAGCAGCCGCGGUAAUUCCAGCUCCAAUAGCGUAUAUUAAAGUUGUUGCGGUUAAAAAGCUCGUAGUUGAAUUUGUGUGCCACACUGUCGGUGCACCGCUCGCGGUCGCAACUGGCACGUCGUGGUACGUCCUACCGGUGGGCUUAGCUUCCUCUCGGGGAGGCGGUCCUCUAAAUCCUAUCGCGGUGCUCUUCACUGAGUGUCGAGGUGGGCCGGUACGUUUACUUUGAACAAAUUAGAGUGCUUAAAGCAGGCUAUCUUCGCCUGAAUACUGUGUGCAUGGAAUAAUGGAAUAGGACCUCGGUUCUAUUUUGUUGGUUUUCGGAACCCCGAGGUAAUGAUUAAUAGGGACAGAUGGGGGCAUUCGUAUUGCGACGUUAGAGGUGAAAUUCUUGGAUCGUCGCAAGACGGACAGAAGCGAAAGCAUUUGCCAAAAAUGUUUUCAUUAAUCAAGAACGAAAGUUAGAGGUUCGAAGGCGAUCAGAUACCGCCCUAGUUCUAACCAUAAACGAUGCCAGCUAGCGAUCCGCCGAAGUUCCUCCGAUGACUCGGCGGGCAGCUUCCGGGAAACCAAAGCUUUUGGGUUCCGGGGGAAGUAUGGUUGCAAAGCUGAAACUUAAAGGAAUUGACGGAAGGGCACCACCAGGAGUGGAGCCUGCGGCUUAAUUUGACUCAACACGGGAAACCUCACCAGGCCCGGACACCGGAAGGAUUGACAGAUUGAUAGCUCUUUCUUGAUUCGGUGGGUGGUGGUGCAUGGCCGUUCUUA